rnacentral:rRNA from 1 species
CGAACGGGUGAGUAACGCGUGAGGAACCUGCCUCAAAGAGGGGGACAACAGUUGGAAACGACUGCUAAUACCGCAUAAGCCCACGGCUCGGCAUCGAGCAGAGGGAAAAGGAGCGAUCCGCUUUGAGAUGGCCUCGCGUCCGAUUAGCUAGUUGGUGAGGUAACGGCCCACCAAGGCGACGAUCGGUAGCCGGACUGAGGGGUUGAACGGCCACAUUGGGACUGAGACACGGCCCAG